AGUGUGAGAAUUUUCUUUAUAUUACAUUGUGGGGGACCAAAUGUGCCCCACAAUAUAAUAAAAACCUGUUAUUUUGACAUUGUGGGGACCAUUUUUCAGGUCCUCACAAAGAUCUGAUUUCUUGCUCUUUUAAACGAAUCAGUUCCCUCAUCCCUGCAUUUAAUGUUAGAGAAGCACACUGCUGGAUCUCCGUCUCUGUAUUUUUGAUGCAUUGCGCAGAAAUAUUUUUUGAUUUGCUCGCGAACAUGCGAUGGCAACUUACUGCCGUUGAAUGACAGUUUGAGAGGAUGCAUAAGCGCUGAGGUGCAGGGGUGCCUGGUGUCCACGGGCAUCCAGGCCUCCAGCAGGAUAAGUGUGACCAUGCUUGUUCCUGUUUACAGAACACUCGGUAACUCUCCAGGUCCGUGGGUCUGCCGUCAUUCAUGAAGAGCCAGACCAAAUACUACGGCUGGUCCCUCUGCUGGAAUGACCUUGAAACAUGGACCACAGAGUGUGUGCCCUGCGAUGGACUGGUAUUCUGUCUGGAUAAGCAUUUCCCAACCCGGAUCCCGGAAAGACCCAGGCUCACUGUGACCCUUCAGCUAGGAUAAGCAGUAUCCCAGAUGUGUCAGGAGAAGCACCUUGCUGUGGAAAUCAAGAACAGCUCACAUCCUUCUAGAAUGUGAAUCAAGAACCUUCAGUCCCAAUGAUUAAUUAAAAGUUCUUCUGCUGUGAUUUGGUCACUAAACCUCUGGCUUAAGCCAUACAUCGAAAAUGAUCUUCAUGCCCACAUACUUCAUCUGUUACACCCAGAAAUUUAACUUGUCUUCCAUCUAUAGCGUUUUGGGGCAAUAAUAUUUAAGUGUGAAUAGUUUAAACAGGAGGUUAUUAUUCUGUACUUUAUGAUAUACUUACCUAACAUCUCUAAUCCCAUAUCAUAUGCAACUUCCAUCAUUCUGACAUUUCAGAUAUUGAGGACUGCAGAAACACGUGUGUGUAAAACACCUUUAUCUUGCAGAUGUAGUUUACACAGCUCUGACCAGAACUGUGGCCUUCGGUUUUAGAGACUGUGCUUGGCAACUUUUAAUUUGAAAACUUGAAAGAUGUAAAGCUUUCAGGGCAGUUGGUGAGUGUGAUGUGUGACGCCGUCACAAAGUUGUGAAUCUCUCAGAGCUUCCCUCGAAAAAACAUGCCUCGCCAGAAGGAUUCAAUACCCCCAAUAAAAGGUAGGUGGACAGAGAGGUUAAAAUGGUUAUUACAAUGAUGAUGUCGCCAGUUUUUAUGCUUCUCUUCCAUAUUUCGAUUUUGCUGAUGCACCGAGUCCCAUUUUUCAGAUUAUAUAAAUAUAAACU